ACUCACCCUAAGUAGCCUGGAUAAGAUAUAAGGGAUAGAAAGAGCUGUGGUUGACCCUUGUUGCUUUGCUACUUUUUGGCCACCAUGAACUUUCUCUUCUCGGAUGCCUAUCUGCCAUACCACCCUGCCUUGGAGCCAGCUGAUUAUGGACUGAAGCCCCUACAAACUGCCCAUCCACAGAAGCUAAAGUGAUGGAGGAAGACUUUUCCCUCCUUUACAGUAUGCUGGAUCGUCAAGUUACAGAACUGAUUUUUGAUCACAGACUUCUUUGAAAAUCUGCUAUUAUCUCUGAACCCUCUGCUUAAGGAAUGGCAUGUGUUCUACAUGUGGUACAGAAGUUUAACAGAAGGAAGAGGAGAUUGGAACAUAGGAGGAAGUUAAUGGAGAAAGGAAUCAAGGCAGUCAUUCUUUGGGAGGGUGGAGGACAGAUCAGUCAUGUGAGAUGUGCUGUAUUUUGUAGUCUACACGGCAUGAUUUAAGAUUCUCCUGUGAGAGAGCCUGCCUGGACAAC
ensembl:lncRNA